rnacentral:rRNA from 2 species
UCUGGUAAUGAUGGCGGAGAGGUCACACCCGUUCCCAUACCGAACACGGAAGUUAAGCUCUCUAGCGCCGAUGGUAGUUGGGACCUUGUCCCUGUGAGAGUAGGACGUUGCCAGGC